rnacentral:rRNA from 1 species
UACAGAGGUCCCGAGCGUUGUUCGGAUUCACUGGGCGUAAAGGGUGCGUAGGUGGCGGGGUAAGUUUGAUGUGAAAGCUCAGGGCUUAACCCUGAAAUGGCAUUGAAUACUACUCUGCUGGAGGAUUGGAGGGGGGACUGGAAUUCUUGGUGUAGCAGUGAAAUGCGUAGAUAUCAAGAGGAACACCAGUGGCGAAGGCGAGUCCCUGGACAACACCUGACACUGAGGCACGAAAGCCGGGGGAGCAAACAGG